AACGUAGGAGACAAACGUUAUCCGGAGUUACUGGGCGUAAAGGGCGUGUAGGUGGUUACGUAAGUCUGGCGUGAAAUUCCUCGGCUCAACCGAGGAACUGCGUCCGAUACUGAAAGGCUUGAAUCCGGGAGAGGGAUGUGGAAGUUCCAGGUGUAGCGGUGAAAUGCGUAGAUAUCUGGAGGAACACCGGUGGCGAAGGCGGCAUCCUGGACCGGCAUUGACGCUGAGGCGCGAAAGCCAGGGGAGCAAACGGG
rnacentral:rRNA from 1 species